GACAGAGGUGGCAAGCGUUGUUCGGAUUUAUUGGGUGUAAAGGGCAGGUAGGUGGUCGGGUAAGUCCGGCGUGAAAUCCCAUGGCUCAACCGUGGAACUGCGUUGGAAACUGCCUGACUUGAGUACCGGAGAGGUGAAGGGAAUUCUCGGUGUAAGGGUGAAAUCUGUAGAUAUCGAGAGGAACACCAGUGGCGAAGGCGGGUUGCUGGGCCGACACUGACGCUGAUGCGCGAAAGCUAGGGGAGCGAACGGG
rnacentral:rRNA from 1 species